GGGUUGUGAGGUUAAGCGACUAAGCGUACACGGUGGAUGCCCUGGCAGUCAGAGGCGAUGAAGGACGUGCUAAUCUGCGAUAAGCGUCGGUGAGGUGAUAUGAACCGUUAUAACCGGCGAUUUCCGAAUGGGGAAACCCAGUGUGUUUCGACACACUAUCAUUAACUGAAUCCAUAGGUUAAUGAGGCGAACCGGGGGAACUGAAACAUCUAAGUACCCCGAGGAAAAGAAAUCAACCGAGAUUCCCCCAGUAGCGGCGAGCGAACGGGGAGGAGCCCAGAGCCUGAAUCAGUGUGUGUGUUAGUGGAAGCGUCUGGAAAGGCGUGCGAUACAGGGUGACAGCCCCGUACACAAAAAUGCACAUAUUGUGAGCUCGAUGAGUAGGGCGGGACACGUGGUAUCCUGUCUGAAUAUGGGGGGACCAUCCUCCAAGGCUAAAUACUCCUGACUGACCGAUAGUGAACCAGUACCGUGAGGGAAAGGCGAAAAGAACCCCGGCGAGGGGAGUGAAAAAGAACCUGAAACCGUGUACGUACAAGCAGUGGGAGCCUCUUAAUGGGGUGACUGCGUACCUUUUGUAUAAUGGGUCAGCGACUUAUAUUCUGUAGCAAGGUUAACCGAAUAGGGGAGCCGAAGGGAAACCGAGUCUUAACUGGGCGUUAAGUUGCAGGGUAUAGACCCGAAACCCGGUGAUCUAGCCAUGGGCAGGUUGAAGGUUGGGUAACACUAACUGGAGGACCGAACCGACUAAUGUUGAAAAAUUAGCGGAUGACUUGUGGCUGGGGGUGAAAGGCCAAUCAAACCGGGAGAUAGCUGGUUCUCCCCGAAAGCUAUUUAGGUAGCGCCUCGUGAAUUCAUCUCCGGGGGUAGAGCACUGUUUCGGCAAGGGGGUCAUCCCGACUUACCAACCCGAUGCAAACUGCGAAUACCGGAGAAUGUUAUCACGGGAGACACACGGCGGGUGCUAACGUCCGUCGUGAAGAGGGAAACAACCCAGACCGCCAGCUAAGGUCCCAAAGUCAUGGUUAAGUGGGAAACGAUGUGGGAAGGCCCAGACAGCCAGGAUGUUGGCUUAGAAGCAGCCAUCAUUUAAAGAAAGCGUAAUAGCUCACUGGUCGAGUCGGCCUGCGCGGAAGAUGUAACGGGGCUAAACCAUGCACCGAAGCUGCGGCAGCGACACUAUGUGUUGUUGGGUAGGGGAGCGUUCUGUAAGCCUGUGAAGGUGGCCUGUGAGGGUUGCUGGAGGUAUCAGAAGUGCGAAUGCUGACAUAAGUAACGAUAAAGCGGGUGAAAAGCCCGCUCGCCGGAAGACCAAGGGUUCCUGUCCAACGUUAAUCGGGGCAGGGUGAGUCGACCCCUAAGGCGAGGCCGAAAGGCGUAGUCGAUGGGAAACAGGUUAAUAUUCCUGUACUUGGUGUUACUGCGAAGGGGGGACGGAGAAGGCUAUGUUGGCCGGGCGACGGUUGUCCCGGUUUAAGCGUGUAGGCUGGUUUUCCAGGAAAAUCCGGAAAACCAAGGCUGAGGCGUGAUGACGAGGCACUACGGUGCUGAAGCGACAAAUGCCCUGCUUCCAGGAAAAGCCUCUAAGCAUCAGGUAACAUCAAAUCGUACCCAAAACCGACACAGGUGGUCAGGUAGAGAAUACCAAGGCGCUUGAGAGAACUCGGGUGAAGGAACUAGGCAAAAUGGUGCCGUAACUUCGGGAGAAGGCACGCUGAUAUGUAGGUGAAGCGACUUGCUCGUGGAGCUGAAAUCAGUCGAAGAUACCAGCUGGCUGCAACUGUUUAUUAAAAACACAGCACUGUGCAAACACGAAAGUGGACGUAUACGGUGUGACGCCUGCCCGGUGCCGGAAGGUUAAUUGAUGGGGUUAGCGGUAACGCGAAGCUCUUGAUCGAAGCCCCGGUAAACGGCGGCCGUAACUAUAACGGUCCUAAGGUAGCGAAAUUCCUUGUCGGGUAAGUUCCGACCUGCACGAAUGGCGUAAUGAUGGCCAGGCUGUCUCCACCCGAGACUCAGUGAAAUUGAACUCGCUGUGAAGAUGCAGUGUACCCGCGGCAAGACGGAAAGACCCCGUGAACCUUUACUAUAGCUUGACACUGAACAUUGAGCCUUGAUGUGUAGGAUAGGUGGGAGGCUUUGAAGUGUGGACGCCAGUCUGCAUGGAGCCGACCUUGAAAUACCACCCUUUAAUGUUUGAUGUUCUAACGUUGGCCCGUAAUCCGGGUUGCGGACAGUGUCUGGUGGGUAGUUUGACUGGGGCGGUCUCCUCCUAAAGAGUAACGGAGGAGCACGAAGGUUGGCUAAUCCUGGUCGGACAUCAGGAGGUUAGUGCAAUGGCAUAAGCCAGCUUGACUGCGAGCGUGACGGCGCGAGCAGGUGCGAAAGCAGGUCAUAGUGAUCCGGUGGUUCUGAAUGGAAGGGCCAUCGCUCAACGGAUAAAAGGUACUCCGGGGAUAACAGGCUGAUACCGCCCAAGAGUUCAUAUCGACGGCGGUGUUUGGCACCUCGAUGUCGGCUCAUCACAUCCUGGGGCUG
rnacentral:rRNA from 1 species